UCUCGCAGCUCCAGGGCCUCCAGCCGGCCCUUCCCCCACAUGCCCCAAGAGAAUGGGAAGUUCAGCCAAGACUCACAGCACCUGCCUGCAGCUCCAGACCGGCUGCGCGACCCGGGCGGGCCGGCCGGCGGGGGAGGCGGCUCCACUCACCUGGCACACAAAGGCUCCGCACACCUCCGGCGGGAGGAGGCACCGGCAGGGGGCAACCUAGUAAUCUGGUGACAUCAUCAACCUGUGGGCCUACACAUAAAUAUCUUCAAUAAAAUAAAAGCUAGAAAGCCCAAAGAACCAGCUAUAAAAUACUCUGGAAGGAUGAGGAGGUGCUGGAAACAAGGCCCUGAGGGGAUCUGCCCUGACACCGCCAGUGUCCCGCCUGCAACCGACCUCCUGCCCCUUAGAGGCCUGACAAAUAGAAGGAAGAGCAACCAAGAUCCCUUUCCGCUCUCUUAAUCUGGCACCAGCCACACAGGGUGAGGCCUGGUCAAGCUUGCCUUUGUUACAGGCAGAAAAUGAACAGGUAAUCCACAGGCAAGUGAUCAAUGGCCUCUACCAUGAUGAAUAUAAAGGCCUGCACAAAAGCUGGGAUGGUACCUCUACUAAAACUUAUCUUCAUCACCAAAGAAAAGAAUACCUCUUCAGAGGGAAUUUGCAACUUUUGCGCUUACAAAUGGAAUCCACAGUUUCUCUGAAAUGCAUCUUGCAAAUGCUGUCCUGUGACUGACUCUGCAAGGCCCUGGCUCUUCGGAGGGCAGCGGCCUGCCGAUCAGCCCUCGGCCUGCCCAGCAGGGCCAGCCCUGCACUCUCGUUGCCCUGUCCUGAACGCUGUUGACAAAUAAACCCACUCUCAGGAAAGGCGAUUCCUGCUUCCAGUUCUCCAUAACUAGGCUCAUCUCAUCUGGAAAGCGUCAUUGGCAACAGCCGAAAGGAUAAAUAUUUAAAACUAAAUCAGGGGAUGCUAACCCCUUCCCUACUCCUCCCCUUACUCUCUCUCCAAACCAGAGGCCAGCCCGCCUAAGGCUUCGCUGGCUGGUAAAUUACAACGAUCUGAACAGAGCCAACUGGCUUCUCCCGCUCUCUCUCUCUCCCCACAUACACACUCAGUCUCCAAUGCUGUAUGUAUCCUUCCCCUUCAGCAAAGGUAAAUAUGAUCUCUGAGCUGAGAUACUGUGAAAGUCAGCAUUCUGACUUCUCGCUAAAGCUGGGCUCUAUUUCACAGCACAACCGGGUUUAGGCGGAUUUGUGUAUUCUUCCAGAUCCUUCUAUUUUUAUUAAAUUAUACAUACACAUUGAUUUUAAAACUAGUGCUUAAAUAACCUUGAGGCUUCAACAAAGAAAAAAAAAGGGGGGGUGGGCGUGAAUAGUCCCUGAAAUAAACAAGGAAACAUUUGGAGCUGAAUGCCCAGCUAUCACCCCAUCAUUUCUAGGCAGUUAUAUUUACGGGCCUGGCACCUGCUGGGUGAUCAGGACCUCCUGGGUAUGGGACAGAAUGCAGGCUCUCCUGAGAACAACCCACACUCAGGCUGCUGUGCCAAGGCCUACACACAGAUGUUCUGAUUCACAUUUCUCUGACAAAAACCUCAAGGCCUCCAUCUAUCGCUACAAUGCUAAUUCCAUAAUUUUACCCCCAAGUCGUAGGUGGAACGGAACAUUAUCUAGCUUACUAACCCACCCUCCCCAGCUCAGACCCUAAGUCUGUCAAUGACACACAUUAAGAAAGACACAAAUGAGUAAACAUUUUUUAAAGGAACUGUGAUUGGGAAGAGCUUUUCCAAAUUAAUGUUAAGUUACAAAGCCCAGUUUAAGAAAGCAGAAAUAAAUAACUUGCCUUAAACUAGCUUUAAAAACGUUAGGUAAAAAGCUUGCUCUUUCCUUUUUUUUUUUUUUUCUUAAACAAAAAAUAUUAUUUCUGAAAGGGCAAAGAGAAUUUGUCAUGCAAGACUUUUAUACCCAGGGGGAUUCUUACAUUUGUGUUUCUAAACCUUGAAAUUGAGAAUUUUAAUGAAAAGGCAGACAGAUGCUUAAGGACAGCCUCGCAAUCAAGGUCCAUACAUUACAGGAGAGGAGGGACGCUUUGUUUGGGGCCAGGAAAAAGAGGUGGAUUCCAUCCCUGCUGUCUGACACAUCCCUGUGCACUCGGCCUGACACCACUGAAUUCUUGGAGGGGAAGCAGGUUGGAGGCAGAAGAAAGGAAAAAGGAAACUGGAGAGGAAAGAAAGGGGGGAGGGGGCAUGGCUUCUUUAUAUAAAUCUUGUAUGUGUGGGUUUUUUUUUAAAUUCUCAACACAGCAUCAACCCCAUAGUAUGUGCCAACAAUUCCCCUACACAUGCAUUAAAACAAUCAAUUAAACGAUCUACCAGGAGCACAAUAA